GCACUGGCAAAAUCCAGUGUCGGGAUUAGUACCCCGCUUUAUUACUCAAGGCACAUAAGCGCCAGCGUUUUUGCUGGUUUUUU
rnacentral:sRNA from 1 species